rnacentral:lncRNA from 1 species
AAAAAAUCGGAAAAUUUAAAAAAAAAUCCAAAAAUAUUGUCUUGUUUCCCUUAUUGUUUUGAAUUAGAUUUUUGUUAGUUUCCCGACCCAAUGAUAUAAUUGGAUAAAAUUUGAACCAUGAUCAUCAAGAACUUAGUUAACAUGUGUUUUGUGAAAUUCCUUAUUCUCUUGUUAGUUUUGUACAUGUUUGACCAUCUUUGAAAAACCAAAUGCACAUAGCCUUGUUAAUGUGAAACUAAAGUAUGACUUAAAGCUUCAUAUGUGAAUUUAGUGACCAUUUACAUCCUAUGUGAGUUUUUGAGCCUAUUGAAAGUGUGUGCAUUUUUCAUACACUCCUAUUUUUUUAUGUGUGAUGAACUUAUGUGAGAUACAUCUCUAGAACUUGCGUAACGAUCUUUCAAAAUGUUUGUCAUUGAUUGCAUGAAUUUGGAAAUGAUAGAGGCAUUAGGUUUACCACUAUGGCCCAAAUAACCAUGUUUCCCAAAGAAAAAUGAUAUCAUUAGAUUGCCAAUUUGAGCCGUGUAUGUUGAGCCUUUUGUUUCUUAUCACCAGAUAUGUCUACCCUUAUACCUGAAACAUUUUUCCUUACCCUUUUCCAAGCGAGCAAUGCGAGAUUGUCUUAUGAGAAACGUUUGUUAAGUACUGUGAAGGUGUUUGGCAAAAGAAUAAGUGUGGGGUAUUUCAUGUUUUUAUUUCAAAAAAAAAAAAAAAAAAAAAAAAAAAAAAAAAAGAAAAAGAAAAAGAAAGAUUGUAUACAAAGAAAAUAAAAAGUUUUUAAAGUUUCAGUUUAAGGGUGUGGUUGGAGGUGUUAGAAGAAUUGUUGGAGAGCUUGAGUUCUUAUAAAUCUAAAUAAAAGAAUUGCUUGCAAUGUAGCUUGGAACUUGUGUUUUCCUAUUCUUUCGUUUCAAUAACCCUAUCCCUAAGCCUCAUUACAUCCAAUAAAAGUCCUCUUGAUUUAAGUUUUGCAAUUAUGACUGUGGAGAAGUGAUCUUUAUGCAAGCUUAUGGUAGAAAUUUCACAUUUGAUUUCUUUGAGCGAAACACAUUUACUAAACACAUGUGUGAUUGAGUGCAUAUCCAGUGAGAAGGUCGCUAGUUUGCAUAUGAUGAUUUUAAAAAUAAAAACUUGAAAGUGCAUUAGCAUGGCUAUCUCACACACUACACUUCAAGGAUGAUUUAAAGAUUACAGCUAAUAUUUGAAUAAGGAAGAUGAACUUGAAUUAACUUGUUUGGUGCUAGCUAUGGUUCUUGAUGAUUUGUGUUCUCAAAUGAAUUUCUAUGAGGGUCACAUAGGGGGAAACUAAUGUUUUUCAUGUUAGUACUUUUUCAUGUUUUCUUUGUUUUGCU